rnacentral:rRNA from 1 species
UACGGGGGGGGGUAAGCGUUGUUCGGAAUUACUGGGCGUAAAGGGCUCGUAGGCGGCCAACUAAGUCAUACGUGAAAUCCCUCAGCUUAACUGGGGAACUGCGUGUGAUACUGGAUGGCUUGGAUUUGGGAGAGGGAUGCGGAAUUCCAGGUGUAGCGGUGAAAUGCGUAGAUAUCUGGAGGAACACCGGUGGCGAAGGCGGCAUCCUGGACCGGCAUUGACGCUGAGGAGCGAAAGCCAGGGGAGCAAACGGG